CUCUGCACGUAUAUAGAUAUAUCAUCUCCAAAAUCAGAUUUCUCUUCAUCUUCUUUUCUGAUUCAGCUUCUAUUUCUCUAUAUCUUUACAUAAAGCUUUAGAAUACUGUGAUUUUCUAUGUGAUUCAGGACUGCGGAAAACCAAUCUAUUUAGCCGAUACACGCUAUCCACACAAAAUUUCAGAUCUAAAUUUUACUGCGGACAUUCAACCAGAUCCAAGAAGAACAAAAUACAGAAGAAGAAAACGGUGAAGUACGACCUGAAAAUUGCAAAAGAAAAUGGAGAAGAAGAAAAUGAAGAAAAAAAAAGUGAAUUGUAGAAAAAAGGCGCCGAGAUUUGCAAAUAAAAAUGGAGAAAAACCAGCUAUGACAAAAGUCACUCUUUAAACUUCAGUUGGCUGCUGUUGUUCGAUCGGAGAAGGUGGACGGCAAGAAUGACGAUGAAUAGCCUCCGAUUUGAAGGAGGAAGUGACACAUGGAUAAAGGAUCUAAGUUUUGGCGUGAUUUGAGAGAAGAGAGAGACGAUGGAGGCGAGAUGUACAAGAGGGGGAGAAAGAGAAAGGCGUAUGGACUAUGGAGGGCGUAUCAGAGGAAGAGAGA